AUUCAAAUUUUCGACUUCUCCACGUAACGAGGCAUUUGCAUCUUGCAGCGAGCGGACCCUUCUGGCCUGUCUAAUGACUUCGUUCUCCUGAAAAAUAACACCUUGCAAUUCCUAAGUCAACAAAACAAGUUAGGUUAAGUCAAUUGGGUUAUCCAUAAUGAAGUGUGCAAAAACAUUAAGCCUAGAAAAUCUGAGCCAUGUCUUCACUUGACCAAGUUGCUCAUAACGUGUCUGGUCUUCAGGAAAUAGAAGACCUUUACCAAGUGCCACCACCCCUAGGUUAGAGAACGCAGAUCAAUUGAAAGGAAAAGUAAGCACGAUCGAAACAUCAUCUACCAAUGAUAGCCUUGGAUGACCGCCGAGGAGGAAGUAUCAGGCAGCUCGGUCUGACUAAAAAAAUCCUUAGAUGGGACUAGAGUGU
rnacentral:lncRNA from 1 species